rnacentral:rRNA from 1 species
GGCUAGGGCCACGUCUAGUGGUACCAACCCAUUGCAAACUCCGAAUACCAGAAAGUGCAAUCACGGGAGACAGACGGCGGGAGAUAAGUUUCGUCGUCGAAAGGGAAACAGCCCAGACCGCCAGCUAAGGUCCCUAAAUCACAGCUCAGUGGGAAACGAUGUGGGAAGGCCCAGACAGCCAGGAGGUUGGCUUAGAAGCAGCCAUCCUUUAAAGAAAGCGUAAUAGCUCACUGGUCAAGUCGACUUGCGCGGAAGAUUUAACGGGGCUUAAGCUGUAUACCGAAGUUGCGAAUGCUUAUUUUAUUAUAAGCGUGGUAGGGGAGCGUUCUGUAAGUCAAUGAAGGUGUAUCGCGAGAUAUGCUGGAGAUAUCAGAAGUGAGAAUGCUGACAUGAGUAACGAUAAUGCGGGUGAAAAACCCGCACGCCGAAAACCCAAGGUUUCCUGCGCAACGCUAAUCGGCGCAGGGUUAGUCGGUACCUAAGGCGAGACCGAAAGGUGUAGUCGAUGGACAACAGGUUAAUAUUCCUGUACCGCGUAUACUGCGAUGGGGUGACGGAGAAGGCUAGGUUUACCGGGUGUUGGUUAUCCCGGGGAAAGUAUGUAGGUAGGAAGCUUUGGAAAAUCCGGGCUUCUAUUACUGAGGUACGAGACCAUUGAUUUUUUAAUCAAGAAGUAACUGAUGCCAUGCUUCCAAGAAAAGCCUCUAAGCUUCAGGUAUUACGCGACCGUACCCCAAACCGACACAGGUGGGUGGGAUGAGAAUUCUAAGGCGCUUGAGAAAACUCUGGUGAAGGAACUAGGCAAAUUGGUACCGUAACUUCGGGAGAAGGUACGCCUAUAUCGGUGAUGGAACUUGCUUCCUAAGCUGAUGUAGGUCACAGAUACCAGGUGGCUGCGACUGUUUAAUAAAAACACAGCACUCUGCUAACUCGCAAGAGGAUGUAUAGGGUGUGACGCCUGCCCGGUGCCGGAAGGUUAAUUGAUCGGGUUAGCCCUUUUAGGGCGAAGCUCGUGAUCGAAGCCCCGGUGAACGGCGGCCGUAACUAUAACGGUCCUAAGGUAGCGAAAUUCCUUGUCGGGUAAGUUCCGACCUGCACGAAUGGCGUAACGAUGGCCACGCUGUCUCCACCAGAGACUCAGUGAAAUUGAAUUUGCGGUGAAGAUGCCGUAUACGCGCGGCAAGACGGAAAGACCCCGUGCACCUUUACUAUAGCUUCACACUGGACUUUGAAUUUAUUUGUGUAGGAUAGGUGGGAGACUUUGAAGCGUAGGCGCUAGCUUACGUGGAGUCGUCCUUGAAAUACCACCCUUAUAACUUUGGAGUUCUAACUUGGAUCCGUUAUCCGGAUCGAGGACAGUGUGUGGUGGGUAGUUUGACUGGGGCGGUCUCCUCCUAAAGAGUAACGGAGGAGUGCGAAGGUAACCUCAGCACGGUCGGACAUCGUGCAUUGAGUGCAAUGGCAUAAGGUUGCUUAACUGCGAGACAGACAUGUCGAGCAGAUACGAAAGUAGGUCAUAGUGAUCUGGUGGUUCUGUAUGGAAGGGCCAU